rnacentral:lncRNA from 1 species
UGUUUGGUGUCUCGGAGUUGUAAUCUUCCUAUUAAUGAUUGUGACAGCUUUUAUAGGAUAUGUACUCCCUUGGGGUCAGAUGAGCUUUUGGGGAGCUACAGUAAUUACAAGCUUAGCUAGCGCCAUACCUGUAGUAGGAGAUAACAUAGUGACUUGGCUUUGGGGGGGUUUCUCCGUGGACAAUGCCACCUUAAAUCAUUUUUUUAGUCUUCAUUAUUUACUCCCCUUUAUUUUAGUAGGCGCCAGUAUUCUUCAUCUGGCCGCAUUGCAUCAAUAUGGAUCAAAUAAUCCAUUGGGUGUACAUUCAGAGAUGGAUAAAAUAGCUUCUUACCCUUAUUUUUAUGUAAAGGAUCUACUAAGCCCUGGUGACUCAUCAGAAAGAAGGCUGAAAGAUGGAGGGAGCUCAUUGAGUUUCUCAGGCAGGGAAUAUAAAAGAAAAGAAGAGAAGCUUAGCCCUUGAUCUGGUAUUGGCCCAUGCGCCUUGCCUGACUAGCAGUUGGAGAGCCCUGUGCUGGUUGAGCUAUGAGCCCUGGUGGAUAAUUCAAUGUCAUCUGUCUUCUCCCUUGGAGCCGAGGGAAUGAAAAGAGCUGACAAAGAGCUGCUUUACCGGCAGAUUAAGAAUAAAUCCCCUUCUUAUUCAACACGAACGGUUGGAGAGAGGAGUUCAACCCGCGUCUCCUCUUGCAAGGCAUUCCAAUGCACCCACCUGAAUGCCGUACUUGCCUUUCUUUAUAAAGUCCCGAUAAGUUCGCUAGUUGAAUGAAUCAUUAAUCGCACUUGCGCGACUAAUUGAACCAGUUCCCUCGGCUCCUUUUCUUGCUUGAUUUCGUGAUUCAAAGGAAUUGACCAAGCUGACUGACUUUCCUGAUUACUUCUUUUCUGCGCUAUACUUUUCCUGCUUGGAGGAAGAGAAUCCGCUGUUACAGACCCGGUUGUGAAAGAAGGUUUGAAGACACUCGACCAACGGGAGAGGAAUGGAACUGACUUGGCUCGGACGAAUCCCUGUGCUGGAAAGAAAGCGAGAAGAGAAAUGACUGUGCCAUUCUUUCACAUCACUCUUUUCAGUCUUAGACGCUUCUCUGAUCCCAUUCCUGAUAGGAACUGCUUGUAGUCUCGGAACCUAGCGCCUCUUUAUGUUCCCAAGGGUUCUUUGAUAAUCGAUAGUGGCUGUUGCCAACUCCUUCUGCUCUGCUUGCCUUCUCUUUUUCUCUGUCUCUUUCUCGGCCUUCGUGCCUUUGGAAAGAAGGCACUUCACUUCCUUUAAUGAACGCUAGGAAAAGAAAGAACACUACAGGAGUCACAACCGAAAACAAAGAAAGAAAAACAGCUAGCAUUCCAAAAGCAAGCAGAAAGAUAGAAUGCAGAAAGCAUUUCCUGGUCUUGCUCUUGACUUGUUUCCUUUCAGAGGCUCAACAAAAGGACAACUGAAAGCGUUAGGUAAGGUCUCAUAAGUGUUAGCCACCCUUUCCAAAGAAUUUCCAAGUGAGCCAGUGGAGUGGGCACACCCUCAGUUAACCCUCGCUGCAAGCUCUUUCGAGCAGGUUGUAGUUGGAUAUGCGUAUACCCUUCCCUAAACUAAACGGGGCCUGACCACGUGCAGGCUAAGAAAAGCGAUUCCCUGCAUUGACAUACUUCAAAACUGCUUUUAGCAAGCUAACCUUAGUCUCACCGCAAGCCCAGGGUACCUUACCACAGGUACUCUGUUCCUCCCAGGUACACUACGCCUGUAGUACGAAAUCAAUCAGAAAGAGUCUGAUGUAUGUGACAUAUCUCAUGGAUUAGAAUCCAGUCGAUCCGCCUACACGUCUUGCUUUUACUGUUAUAUCGGGAGUUACUCCACGUAUUGCUUGACGUAAAACAGAUAGUGGAUUUGUUUCUGUCUUUUGUUGAAUCUUUUUCACGGCUCGAUAGAUAAUUUGAUAAGCCAAUGAUUUUUUCCGUGUUUCAGAAUACGGUUAACCAACAUGUUAACUAAUCGAUUGCGAUAAAUUGGAUCGGAUUUGGCUGUUUUUUCUUCUGCAGCACCUCGACGUGACAUGAGCGUGAAGGGGUUCAAGAAUCCGUUUUCUUUUUAUAAGGGCUAAAAUCACAGGUUAUUACUCCUCGGAUGAGGAGCCAUCACUCUGACUGCCAGAAGAGAAGAAGGACCUUCUCUGAUGACGCAACCUUCAAGAAGGGAAUUCGGAAUCAUAAGACGAGCAAGAAAGAGUGCUUUCUCUGAAAAGAAAGAGAGAUUGGCAUUCCUCCGAUCAGCAUGAGAGCUCGAUCCAGCUGAAAGCGAUCCCUCAGAAGUCAAUCCAGCAGAGGAUGAAGAUGACCAGUUCGUUUGAAAGAAGAGAUCUUGAUCAAAUGGUCAAGCAGAAAGCACAAUUGACUUCAGUGGAGACGAUAUGACUGGAUGACUCUAUAUUCAAUGUCGCACCAAGGGAGUUUUCCUCACAAAGAAGGAUGGAGUGCUCGAACAUCUCGGCUGAUGGGGCUCAUCUGAUGUCAUCUGUCGGCAGGUUUCGGUCUGGCAGGGAGGUAUCAAUAUUCAUUACGAGCCUCUAUUCUAAGGUCAGGUACCUAUCCUUCUUUUGAACCAAGAUGAUCACCACCAAUUUGAUCGUUGUCGUUCGUUCGGAACUAGCAGGGCUGUUCAUUUCGAACCAGGAGCCGGAAACUCAGCAGUCGUUUAAGUAGGAAUCGAAGUCAAUGCUUGGUUGUUUAGUCCAAGGGGGGAACUCAUUUCAAUCUAAAGAUAUAUAAGCCAGGCUCUUCGACUGGAUCGAUCUGUAGCUGGUAGUUGGUGGAUGCGCUAAUGGUAGGUGCGCGAAUAAGAGUGGUUGGUAGAAAGAGGAUGGCACAGUCAGGCAUGAAAAGGGCCCUCCGAAGCAGAGAAUCUCCGAGUAUGGCAUUCUCGGCAUCAAGACUAGUUGCACUUUUCAAAGAGAACCUUCUUCCAUCUAGAGGCGAUGCUCGUUUAUUCAGUAUUGGACCAUCCAUCGCAGUCAUAUCAAUUUGACUAAGUUAUUCAGUAAUUCCUUUUGGUUAUCGACUUGUUCUAGCCGAUCUUACUAUUGGUGUUUUUUUUAUGGAUCGCCAUUUCAAGUAUUGCUAGAGGGUGGGUCAAGCUCCUCGUUCAGCAGAUAGAAACCCUACCUAUGCAAGAUUGAAUGCAGUGCUGCUUGGACAACAUCAUUGGAUUUAGUACAGUCAGCUAGGAAUCAUCAAGUCAUACUGGGAAUGCUACCGAGACAGUAGAUAUAUGCUUAAGGAAGAGUCCCUGAGAAAGAAAGCAGUUCUUAUGGACAUUAACUUUCUGACCAGACUGAUGUUCAUACGCCAAUAAAACAUCCAUCUUGGCUGGCACAUCUCUGAAAUGUGCACCAUUAUCCGAAUCAUUCUAUGCAGCCUCCAGUCCCCGGAGGGGCAUUUCUCGAGACCAGGCAGAAGACGCUCCCUUCUUUAGAAUUUCGCCAACCCUCUCUUUCGACUCAUUUCUUCCAUCUUCUCCUUCUCUUUUAUCUGACCCGAUGAAGAGGGGAUUUCUUCAUAUAUUCCUAGUAGGACGCUUGGUAGGACCAAUGCCUUUGCCCCGGUAGCUGAAUAGUCUCCUGCUCUCUCUUCUCGGUGUGGAACGUUAUACGAGAAAUAGAUGCUCAGCCUGCAAUGUCCGAUAACGGCGCUGAAGUAGUGAAUCUAUCCCUCCGCUUGCUGGAACUCGAAGGAAUCAAACUCCAACUGAAACUGCCUAGAAGCCCUCUCCAAAUGGCUCAGGAAUAGCAUAGCUUGGAGAAGGCACGGGCACUGGGAUACUUUUCAUAUUCAGUCACGAGGACUGCAACAGGCUCGGCAGGGAACUCGCUUUCCGAUGAAUAGAAUACUAAGAAAGGAACGGAACAUUGGAAUUGCUUAUUAGCAGGAUCGAAUGGACUCGAUGGAGACAAAGAAAGAUGCAGGUUAGUUCGAGGUGAGGUUGGUGGCGACCAAAGGACUGGACUCAAGAGAUCGCAAGUUCGGGCUUAGUUCCUUCGUUUGCUUGCUCAUUCGCUUUUCUCGGGCGGCUCAGUUGGUAGAGUUGUUAACUGACCGAAUGGAAUGUGAAAGCUCCCCAGAAGAAAGACUACCUUCUUUCUAGUACUUCAUUUCUAUAUGUAAAUAGACAAACGCUAAGGGCUUUCUGCUCCUUACUAGUGUCAUAUGAUGACUCCGCCUCUAAAGCAUUCCUAGAGCAAGUAGUACCUGUCUUUGGGGGCUAGACUAAAGGACCCUCUUUCUUUUUCUUGCUUGUGGAGAUCCAGAAAGCUACAUCCGAUCUUGCGCCCUGCUUUCCUUAUCCCUGAGUCCUAUCUCGCAAAAGCAAUGGUAGGCCUUUGGAGCUAGUUUAGUUCUUUCAUCGCCCCUUUCCCUCGUAAACUUGAAUUGGAAUAGUGCCACUCUCGGGAAAAUUGGUAUCAACCCCUCGAAGACGGACAUUUCAAGAGUGCCAGUUUUAGGAAAGAGCCUCUUUUGGGCCUAUUUGCCUAGGUUCUUGUGAAUGGGCUCAGGAGAUUCAUGAUCUUAGGUUUGAAUUAAAGAGUUGGAGCAGUGAAGUUCGUGCUAAAUGACCGAACGAACGUAUCUGGUUGCGAGUCUUCUCCUACUGAGAAGAGAGCUGCUUAAACAAAGCGUAAACGCACAAUCAAAGGAAAGGAAGGUUUCCUUGAAUCGCCAUCACCAAUUCGCAGUAUGGUUGAACCCGGGACCGGAUCCACAGGCGUUGGAACUACUCUCAGGACUCUCUCCCUUUUAGCGCCGGCAGGAGAUAUAUUUUAUAAAUUGACUAGUUAUUAGAAUCAAUCCUUUCCCAAGCAAAGCAUCUGUUUGGCCUUGGAGCUAGGCCCUUCUCCUUGGCUCAGUUUGUUCCCACGGACUAUCUAUUCUCAAGUUAGUCCCCAUCGGCGAUUAUCACUUAUAGAAUAUUCGAUAAAGUUACCUAGGCAUAGAUUGGGUUCCAGGUCGUGGUCAUACUCACCUUCCUCCGGCUUAAUUUUUUGUUUCCGCACUAUCUAUACUUGUCAAGGAACAACUUCUCUUCAGAAAACUUUCGGAGAAAACAUCUACAAGACCGUCAAAUCGAACCCCAAAAUAGCAAGGUUGUCAGCACUUGGACAGUUCUUCAUUAGAAGGUUGGUGACCCGGUUCCUUUAUUUGGCUGCAUUAUCUUCGGAUCCUCCAUGUUUAUCUGGCUCUAUUAAGCUUCAAAGCUAACCUGGUUCGUCUCUUUCUUUUCGUAUAUGUCUAGAUCUGCAUCAUAUGUAUCAAGAUUGUUGCAUUCGUUUGUUUCCUCUUUCUCUUCUGAUUUGACUGUCUUCCGCUUUAUUUUACAAACCCCAGUCUAGAUUUGCCUCUUUUUUUUUGUUUGUUUUGUUCAAUCUUGCAUUUUGACGAUGGGUUUUGUGAAAUCUAGUGAGUGUUUGGGACCGGAGUUUUGUUUUAGAUUGUCACAUGCUUUCUGGGUUGUCAAACUUUCAAAGCAUCAGAAUGCUUUGAACAACUUUGCAUGGGAGAUUUGGAAUUUGCAUUUUGGCCUCCCAACUUUCAUCUAAUCCCACUAUGGCCUAAUACCUGGAAAAAUUGAAUCAAUUUUCCCAAGUUUUAAUCUUCUUUUGCAUAUUUUAAAUAUGUUUUUGAACAAAUUAUUUCCAGAUUUUAGAGUAUAAUUAAGGUUUAAUAAUUUUUGAUAGAUUUAAUGUCUUGUGCAUUUUAGUAAAAUAAGUAGGGUUUUGGGUUAAGAGUUAUUUUAUUUGGGUUUUGAUUGGGUUAUGGCAUAGGGUUGGGAGAUAAAGCUCAUACAUUUUAGUUGGAUUUGCUUGGGUAAAAAGAGUGGAUUGGCCCGUAUUUUUCUUUGGAUUUGGGCCGGGGGGUUUUGGCCCAAGGAAACAAUAAAAAGGGCCCAGACCCCUUGGGCUUACUAAAUUUGAUAUGAAAAUUGUAAUCUGAUUCCUAUACUUUUGAGUAAUUUUAUUAUGACCCUAAAAAUUUUUAUUUUCUUUCAAAUAGAUCCUCAAUGUAAUUACAAUGUGGUCCAUAAACUUUAUUUUGCUUUAAUUUUCACCCCUGAUCAUUAUAAUAAUUAUAAUUUGACCCUAAAUAUUUUCUUAUUUUUGCAAUUAGAUCCCUAAGUGCUUUAAUUUCUUAAGUAUAAUUUAUCUAUCUUCUUUAAUUGUUAAUUAUACUUCAUUUAAAUGCUUUUAAUUGUUAGACUUUAUGGUUAUUUUCAUUUUUUUAUAAUUUAUUUGUUAAUUAAAUUGGUGUCUUGACCAUUUUGUUAAUUUUGGAGUAUAAAUAGGGCAAUCCAACCUCAUUUAACUAUUACUUCAAGGGAGGUAUCUUCUAAUAUUAUUUUAAAUUCUCUUAUGUGCUCCUAUGUAUUUUUUAUGUGUGAUUGCAUGUUUUGAGUUUUUUUUCUUGUAUUUACUCAUUUUAUUCUUUUUAAAUUUUCAUUUAUUAUAUUUAAUUUUUGAUGAUUAUUUGGACGGCAUUUAAAUGUUGAAUUAUAAUAGAUAGAUGUUCAAGAGAUGUAUUUAACUUGACUAUGUAAUAGAUAGAUUUUUUUUUGUCAAAAUGUAAUUAGUUAGAUGAAUGAAACAGUUAGGUUAAUAUUUUUCAAAUUCCCCACUUUAGAUUAUAGUUAGGAUCCCAAAUGUAAUAGUUAGGUCUUUAUGUGCAUUUAUUUGCUUGUGUACUUACAUGCUUGUGUGCUUAUGUGUUUAUUCGUUUUCUUUAGACUCUUUGCAUCUACAUAUUAUGUUUGUGUUAUGUGUUCCAUGUGCUUUAUGUGUUUAAUUGUUUUAAUUAUAUUUUAUUUAUUUAUAAUAAAUGGAUGACGUCACCACACUAGUCCAACGCUAGUUGUGACCUUUUUCCCGUUUUCUCACUAGUCCAAUGCUAGUGAGAACUUAUAGACAUGAGUUAGUCUAAUGUUAGACCUUUAGACCUGCCUACGCGUUAGAAUUAUAUGUUUGUAUGACAUUUAUUGCAUUUCAUGCAAUUUUUUUUUUAAUUUUUAGGGUCUUUUUUCUCAUGUUGCAUGAUCUUUCUUCUAUAUAUUAUCUCCAUCAUUCCUAUGUGCGGGAAACAUGACAUUUAGACUUGCAUUCCAUUUAGGAAAAUAGAAAUAAAUUAGUUCAUUUGCUUAAUUAAGUUAGGAAAGUCACCCUUCAAAUAUGGGAAAUGAACGAGUAUGGCUUCUUAGCUUUAACACGCUCUUUUCCCCUCUAUAAGAAGGAAAAUUUGAUUCACGAAUUUUAGCAUCCUGUACCUGUUAUGUUGCAUUCCUUUUUUUUAGGUCAUGUAUAUUUAUCUAUAUGUUAUAACUUCUUUUUCGAGUCUCAUUUUUUGCAUAUUCGUGACCUCUUCUAAGAAUCAUUUUUGGGCGUCACAAUUAAUGUGAUUUGCACCAUUUAAACUUAAAAAGACAAGCCGACCCUCCCGAUACCCCCUAGGUCUAAAUUCGCAUCUAUAUAGAAGCAUCAUAAUGUAAUAAGUUUUAUAGGUUAGACUAAGAAAUUUUUUUAUUAAAUCUCACAACUAGUUUUGACUAGAUUAAAAGGGUGCCUUAGAUUUGAGACUAUCAAAUUUUUGCCUUCUCUUUCUUCAACCGUGACUCGCGAACUAUCUUCUCUUGUUUACAAAAAUCUAGAGUCAUCUAAAAGGGGUUUUAUUUAAAAAUAUAUUUUGGAUGAUUUGGUACACCUAAAAUUAAUACUAAGUGGCGACUCUUAUUUUUUCUAAAAAACCCUUUUUCGACUAUUAUUUUGGUCUCAAACCGUCGCAUUUUCUAAAACCCAUAUUAGGCCCCUUUUUCUUUAUUUAUUUUCUAAAAUCAAAAUCUUUUUUUUUUCAACCCCUAAAUUUUAUUUUCAAAAAAUGGGGCGCUACAGUUGGUGACUCCAUUGGAAAUUUUUAGAGAGUCCAAACAUUUGGUUUAGUCGAUCCUUUUUUUUUCUAACUCUUUUUACAUAUCACAUUAGGAUGUUUUAAGUUGCAUUUUUUUUCUUUUCCUUUUUCUUUUUCUUCUCCUUUUUAGGAUUAUUGCAUUUCACAAGCGCAACAUCCUCUCACUUUCCGUGUACGUAAUGGAUAAUUUACUUUCAUUUAUGUUAUUGCAUUUUUGUAUUUGGGGUGGGGAAGUGUCACCCUAGAGCUUUCAUGCAUGCUCAAUAAUAAUUUGUCCUCUCAGAGGAGCAUUUCAUACGUGCAUACGCUAUUUCUUUUAACCCCUCAUUUUAUUUUAUUUUAGUAGUUGUCACACCACUCCUCCCUAUUAGGAUUAUGAUCGAUUCACUUGGACAUGUGCCCGUAGCAUGACGUGUACAUAGCAAUGCCGAGGGAUCACUCAAACCACCAAUUGAAGGUUUUGGAAUUGAUGACCCUUUGCCCUUUGGUCUGAAGGUUUGGGGGUCUGAAAUCUAAUCGAAUCUAGAUGUAUUAGUGGGACCAACCUCAUGCAUUUAUAUUAGAAAUUGCCUAGAAUAGAGUUAACCUUACCCAGUUAGGAACACUAGAUAUGAGGGGAGGGAUUCUACCCUUCUUUCUUUAUUUUAUAUAUGUUUGUAUCAUUUUAUUGAUCUAACGUGUUAUGUGUUGUUUAUUGAACUAACCUCUCUUUGUUUUCUCUUCUUUUGCAUUCACAAAUCUUAGAAAAUAAAAGUUUUGGCAUGGUACUUUUUAAGAACCCACUUUAGUAGAUAGAUUCUUACACGUUUGAAUUACAAGUUAUUACAUUUUAAUAUCUUAAUAUUGCACCUCAUUUUAGACCUAUCCUGACGUAUAAAAAGGGUUCCUUUAGGUCAUAUUUAAUUCCCGUUAUCGCAUAUUUACUCGCUUUAAUAAAGUGACAUCAUGCAUCAACCUUAGAGGGAAUGUCAUUUAGGGAAUCCCACUUUAGGAUUAUGCCAACUUUUUCUCCCAUGGGUAUCUAACCCGUUAUGGGAUUUGCAUAUUUAAAUUUUCGUAAAACUGGAAGGGUGGGGCCCGUAAGUAAGGUAUUUGACCCAGACUUUAUGCUCCAGAUGGACAGUUCCCGAUGAAUCAAACAGUUGCUGGUAGUUCCGAUUGAGAUUCAGAGGUGGCCCGCACUCCUUUCACCUAAUGAAAUCCAUCAAGUAACAUCUCAUUUAGGACCAAUUGGAGAUCUCAAAGACAUUCAGUCAGAUGGUUAGUUGGUAGAGGCUUUGGUACAAUUAUGGGACCCUAGUUACUUGGCAUUUAGAAUAGAAAAUUGAGAAAUGACCGUAACAAUUGAAGAGGUAACCGGUCUUCUCAACUUGUCGGUGCGUGACACCGUAGUGAUAUUUUCAUUUGCGUCCGGCAAAGUUGAGUUUUGUCAUUUCAUUGGAUUAAAGGAAUCUGUAGCACAAGGGUCUGAUCAAAGUAUAGAUGUGAAAUUCCUAUUUAAUCAUUUGCACUAAGAGAUGGGUUUGAGAGACAUUCUAGGAAUUUUUCGUUUAUGUCUAAGGCAAUGUGGGAGCGAAAGAGAUCGUGGAUAUAUGGAUUUGUCAUGGCGGAAACUUAGCUCUUUUCGCGAAGGGACAAGAACAUCGCCUUCAGGAUCACUAAACUUAUGUUUGACCUCUUUCUUGGGAUUAAGAACCUACCAUACUCUAUAGUACCAACCAUUUUAACUGACAUAUUUGUCGUUUGUAUCAGUUGCCAGAGGGGAGUGAAAUUCUUCCAUGGUCCAAAUCUGAUUUUACACAUGUGGGUUAUGGAGUAUUUUACGAGAAAACUACCCGUUUCGGACAACUUGUCAUUGAUUGGGUACAAUUGGAUAACAACCCAUCACAAAGAGAAUUGAUAGGAAUAAUUUGCAGAGAAGUGCCUCAGAAUACGUGGGUUUUUUUGAAAAUGUUGUUGGAUUAAGAGAUUAGAUGGGUUUGGGAUUGGAUCGAUUGCCUCAAACUUGUUUUGCGUGCCAAGUCAUCAGAAUUUAUCCCAUUACUAGGAACUCAAGGCAUCAUAACUUAUACGCCAAAAAGAUUUCUUAGACAGUUAGGACGAGUUCAAGGGUUGCUACAUACAUCGGAUCUGGCCGAAUUCACUAUUAGUUUCAAUAAGAGGAUCUGCUCCAGUGAAGUUCCAAUGAAGGUACCGAUUAUUGAAGAUUGGGGAACAUUGUCCGGCGAUGAGCGCAUUGCCUACAUUCCAGAAUUCAGGUAAAAAAUUUUGGUUACCCCGCAAUACGAGAAUUGACUUAGAGACUCUGGUACAAAAGAACUGCAAGAAGGAGGUCAAGAGGUUACUGGCUAUUAUUAAGGCAAAAAAUAAGAAGAAUCUACAACUGAAGAAGUCCGUCGAAACUAAUAAGGAGUUGGCAGAAAAAAGUAGAAGGUCAAGCGAAGAAAUGCCAGAAAAAAUUAAUAACUGAAGGAAAAAUGUGGAGAAUUGUAUGAUCAAACGGAACGUAUGAGCAAUCCUUACUCUAGAGAAUCCAAAAACAUUGUAAUAGAUAGGUUGAAGAGAAUUAAUAAAUUUGUACAAAAUCGCCUUCGAGAAAUGAUGUAAAUAUUCUGCAAAUUCGGCAAUAAAAUAACUUUUCUCUUUCGUGCAAUAUCAUUAUUAAAAAAAUAGGUUUGAUGAACGGGCCCUGCUCUAAAAGUGUUGUAUCAUGUUAGGCCAACUUUUGGCGUAAAAAGGGCUCCUCCCAUAGGACAUGCAUCCCGAAAUUAUUCAGAUAUCUACUAACUCAUGUCUUUUUCUUUUUUCUUUUGAAUAAACUGCAGGAAUUUGAUAGAAAAUGCACUCCUGAACUGAUUUCUUUUCCUCAUCCUCAAGUACUUUUCAAAAUAGCUACACUUAAAAUCCCAUUAUUACGAGGUCCCGUAGCCGAACCUUGAGAAACCGUGAAAAUAUGAGUUUCUAUCCGUAGCCAUCAGAGAGAUCUGCAAUAAUCCCAUCAUCAGACGCUGCAAAUUUAGGGGCCCAAUUGAGUGAGAUGCUGAACAAAUUCAAUAAGUUAAGUGCAGAAAUGGCGGUGCAGAGGCGGAUGAUCGAUCAACUGGUGUCAAACAACACUGGCGGUGUCCAAAGCGACUCUGUACCUAUUGAUGAUAACCAACAUGAGUUAGAAAACUCGCCAUCUCAUAUGUCACAUAAUCAAACUGCUUUUAUCCCACCUUUUUACAAGUCAAUCCGGAGGCGUCUUUACUUAUCCCAUCCCUAGUUUGUCACAUACAUAUUCGAGUAAUAUCUUCGUUAACCUGACUAGCAACCAAAUUUCUCAAAGUUGCCCACAAAUUAACUUGAAUACUCUAUCUAACCCUCAAGGACUUCAUUACCUCGCCACGGAGCCGUUUAUACUGGACACCGUCUUUCAAGGAAGGUAGACAUAGGAGAACCCUCUGCCUCAAUGAACAAGAAUUUGCUAAAGAGGUUGGAUCGAUUCGAUGAGUUCACGAAGAAAAGGCAGGGAUUGAACAAGCAUGGAGGAUUAGUCUAUGAUGAAUUGUGUCUCUUUCCGGAUAUGCAGUUGCCUUUAAAUUUUAAAACUCCUAAAUUUAGCAAGUAUGAUGGAACCUAAAAUCUCAAAACGCAUUUUCGAAUGUUCGCAAACAAGUUAGAGAAACAAGUGGAUGACGAGAACCUACCAGUGCGAUUAUUUCCUGAAAGUCUGGAGGGCGACGCUCUGGAUUGGUAUUCUAAUCUAAAGCCUAAGGAAAUAAAAACUUGGUUGAAUUUAUCUACACCUUUCAUGAGGCAAUAUGAAUACAACUGUGAAUUUGCGCCAACAAGAACAACACUUGAAAGGACCAAGAGGAAACCAUCAGAAGACUAUAAGACAUAUUCUAAAUAUUGGAGGAAUUUGGCCGGUAAGGUCGAACCCUCCAUGACUGAGGAAGAAGUCGUCCGCACAUUCAUUAAAACUCAUGACCCACCAUACUUCGAGAAGAUUUUUCGUAUGAUUGGGUGUUCAUUCUCGGCUAUUGUUAACAAGUUGGAAGAAUUUGAUGAGUUCAUCAAGGCAGGAAAAAUAGUUAACGUGUCAAUGUUGAAAAUGCAAUUAGAAGUCCUGCAAGGUCAGAAUAAUUGUGAAAAGAAUCCCCAAUUCAAGUAGAAGAAAAGAAAAACUGCCUUUAUAUGGGAUCAAAACCCCUCAACUAGACUCAAAUUUCAAAACCGCUCCACCUAUCCAUCUCCUUACCCGUGCUAUUUAAACUCCCAUCCUAUCUACCAUACUACCGUCAAUCAUUCUCGUCCCUGACCCAACUACACAAGUAUGCCUACACUACCUUUUUAGAUUUCUCAAGCAAACCUACAAACUCGACCCCGACCCCCUUAUAAUUCAAGACCCGUUCCACCAAAUAAUCAAACCUACAACCAUACUCAAAUCAAUGAAAUUCAAAAUCAAAACCAAUAUCAAACCUUCAUCAAUUUAGGCUGAUUUCUUGACCAAUUAUACAAGUAACUUAAAGCUGCUGGUAAGAUUGGCAUUAUGUCUCCCAAGACCUACCCUAGAGGUGUUCCUGUUGGAUAUGAUUUUCAAACCAUUUGCGCCUAUCAUUCUGGGAGUCUCGGUCACUCUAUUGUCAAUUAUUGGGUAUUAAAACAUAAGAUCCAAGGCAUGAUUGACGUCGGGGACAUAGUUUUCAGAAAAAGAGAUAAAAUAGAGUCGAAUGUCAGCAAGAACUCUCUUCUCGAACACAAGAGUACUAUACGGGUUAUUACUAUUGAUGAGGAGUUCGAAGAGCCUGUCGAAUACAUUAUGGAUAAAAAUAAAGUAAUUGGGAUAGUCGAGAAGCCAUUUAUACUGGAAGAAGAACUCUUGGAAACUAAUGGAAAUCCUUUCAUCCUAGACUUGUCGGAAUCUGUGGUACUCGAAUUUCCUGAGCAAUCACUUGUGCACAACUUGCAAGAAGUACCAUGAAAUUAUGAUAAAUCUGCCCUACUGAUCGGUGAUAUAGAGGUGUCAAAGGAGAAAAUAGCUAUUGUUAUCAGAUCUAGAAGGAUCGUGGACGACUGUGAAAUUCUUACUCAACCAUAAGCGAAGGAAAUGCUCUGUCAUCCAUACCAUCUGUGAUUGAAGAGGAGGCACUAAAUUUUCUCAAGUUGCUGAAAAGGAGUGAGUUUAAGAUCAUGGAAUAGUUAGAUAAAAUGUCUGCCCAAAUCUCUAUUCUAGACUUGCUUUUAACCUCCAAGUUACAUAGAGAGCCAUUGCUCAAGGUCUUAGGUGAGGCUCGAAUACCGAUAAAUAUUCCAGUUGACAAGUUCACUCACAUUGUGGAGGAUGUUCUGACUACUAAUCUCAUAAUCUUUUUUCUGAUGAGGAUUUGACUCUUGAAGGGAUCGGACAUAAUAAGGCGUUAUAUAUCUCAAUAAGGUGUAAUGAAAAGUUGCUGCCAAGAGUCCUGAUAGACAACAAAUCCAUUUUGAAUAUCCGGCCAUGGAACACUGUUCUAAAACUUAGACUUCCUGAUGCUAGACUGUGGCCAUCUGCAACGAUAAUAACAGGAUUUGACGUUGCAAGAAAAGAGUCAAUGGGCGAAGUUGAUUUGGUACUGGAAAUAGAAUCCCCCCAAUUUCAAGUAGUUUGUCAAGUUAUAGACUUUUUGCGUGUUUACAAUGUUCUAUUUGGAGGACCUUGGAUCCACACUUCUAAUGCUGUUCCAUCUUCUCUCCAUCAAAAGAUGAAAUUCAUUGUAAAUGAACAACUGAUCAUUAUGUUCACCGAAGAUGAUUGCACCAUGAUUGUCAACUUUGGUUCGAAUGGAGAAAAUGGUAGAAAAUGUCUCAAUUCUCCUCACCAUGUGGCCGACAUCGUGUCAGUUGGAUGGAUUUUCAAAGAAAGAAUAGAUGCACUUGAAGCCAGUGUCAUGAUGGUUAAGAAAAUGAUUCGAGAAGAGUAUGAAAUAGGCAAGCGUUUGGGGUGGAAUCUGCAAGGCAUUUUGGAGCCUAUAGAGUUUUUGGGGAAUAAAGAUACAUUUGGAUUGAGAUUUCAAUCCACAACUAAGGACAAAAAGGAGAUGCAAGCUCAUAAAAAGUGAAAAAGGAAGGAAAGCAAAUUUUCAUGAGUAUUCCACCAUUGCACUACAUCUCUUCCCGUCCAUCUGGGAUAAUCCUGCCUGAAUUAGAUGAGAAGAACACGAUUGAGGAGAUCGAGGUGGGCUUGUCUCAGUUGUUCGUUGGAGUCCCUGCGAGGAUGAGCCCCUGGAAGAAAUGGAGUUUCCAACCAUCCCGAAAGAAGCUAUGCAAAAUUGGACUAUUGAUUAGCUUCCCUUUCGAAAGAAAAUUUUGGUAAUUUAGGGAGAUUCUCUUUGAUCGAAAUCCGUGAUAAAGGUUACUUUGUUUCUCACUAUUUGUUUUCUUUUAGUAUUAUGUUAAUAUGCAUUUUGUUUAAAUGAAAUCCCGUUCCCACUGCACAGUUCCGGUUAAUAUGCUUUUGUUUUAACUAACAUUUCAUUUUGCAAAGUACUUGUCCUUAUUCGAAUGUCUGUCUACUUUUUAAAUUCAAUGAAACGGAAGGUCUCUAUUUAUCUUCUAUUAUUUUCUACUUGUUUAUUGUCCAUAUUACUUUAUUUUUAGAUGAUCAAAAAUAAAACUAUUUGACCAUUCGAAUAUCACCAUUCUGAAAUUCAAUGAUUGCAAACUCAAUAUCUCUUACGAAUUUGAAAUUAUAGAAUCCAAAAUUCAAAAUGAGAGUGAUAGCAAGGAGGAACUUGGGUCUAUUUAAAAAAUUCUUAAAUAAUAUGAAGAAAAAUCUAAAUCGAACUUAGAAGAGACAGGAAUAAUUAACAUUGGCACUAAGAUGGAGGUUAAAGAGAUCAAAAUUAGUGUUCACUUGAAUAAGGAAUAGAGAAAGGAGAUGACUGAAUUUUUAACUAUAUUUCAAGAUGAUUUGAAUGGUCGUAUGAUGAAAUAUUUGAAAUUUCUACAGAUAUAGUGGUCCAAAAUUGCCGACUGAUUCAAAAUUUUUACUAGUAAAACAAAAAUCGUGCAAAUUUAAACCAGUUAUAAGUUUUAAAAUCAAGGAGUAGAUCGAGAAGCAAUUCAACGUCAGAAUUAUUAUAGUGCCUCGUUAUCCAAUUUGACUUUCAAAUCCCGUACCGGUUACGAAGAAGAGUGGAGAAGUGGAGAUAUCAACAAAACUAGUCCGAAAGAUGAUUUUUCGCUGCCAAACAUUUACAUUUUUCUGGACAACACUACGGGACAUGAAAUCGAAUCUUUUGGUGACUGUUUCGUCAGGUAUUAUCAAAUUUUAAUGACGGAAGAAGACAGAGAGAAGACUACUUUCAUCACUUCAUGUGAAAAAUUCUGCUAUCGAUUAAUGCCGUUCGGAUUGAAAAAUGUUAGAACCACUUAUCAACGAACCAUAACCACUUUGUUUCAUGACAUAAUUUAUAAGGAAAUUGAGGUUUAUGUGUACAAUAUUAUCAUUAAAUUCAAGAAGCUAAAGACCAUCUGAUUGACUUAAAGAAAUUGUUCGAAAGGUUGAGAAAGUACAAUUUGAAAUUGAAUCCUACAAAAUGUGCUUUUGGGGGCUCCCAUCGAUAAAUUAUUGGGAUUUAUUGUCAGUAAAAAGAGAAUAGAGAUUGAUCCAGCGAAAAUCAAAAUGAUUCGAGGGAUGCUCAUAUCGAAAACUCAAAAGAACGCGAAAUGCUUUUUGGGGAAGAUCAAUUUUAUCGAUAGAUUUAGCGCUCAAUUGAUAUCUACAUGUGAGUCUUUGUUCAAAUUACUGAAGAAGAACGUGCCAAUGCAUUGGAACGAAAAAUGUUAACUGGCUUUUAAUAAAAUUAAGAAUUAUUUGUUGAACCCUCCGGUUUUAGUGUCACCUAAGAUGGGUCGACAUCUGAUUAUGUAUCUAUCUGUACUUGAUGGGGUUGUAGGAUGUGUUUUGGGACAACAUGACGACUCGGGAAAGAAGGAACAAGCCAUCUAUUAUCUCAGUAAGAAAUUCACUGGAUACGAGAUCGAUUAUUUCUUUUUUCAGAGAAGUUGUUGUACUUUAGUCCGAGCAGUUCAAAAGUUGUGGCAUUACUUACUUAGUCAUACCACUUACUUCAUUUUUCAUUCGAUCCUCUGAAAUAUUUGUUAAAAAAACCGAUACCGGCAGGGCAUAUGGUAAAGUGGCAGAUGAUGCUUUCGGAAUUCAAUAUUGUUUUCACUACGCAAAAGGCAAUCAAGGGGCAGGUCAUAGUAGACCAUUUGGUCGAAAAUCCGAGAGAAGAUGAUUACCAGCUAUUGCAUACCUAUUUUUCUGAUGAGCAGAUCUUAUUUAUUAGCGCAUCAGAAGAUAUGAAUGAGCAAUACCCUGGGUGGAGACUAUUCUUCGAUGGCAUUUUGAAUUCUUUUGGGGUCGAAAUCGGAGCUGUUCUGGUGUCACUUGAGGGAAACCAUUACCCCGUCGCUGCUAAAUUACGAUUUCCUUACACCAAUAACAUGGCUGAGUACGAAAUUUGCAUUUUUGGACUGCAAAUGGCAUUAAAAAUGGAGAAAAAGGAUUUGAUAAUGUUCAGUGAUUCUGAUUUACCGGUGCAUCAAACGCUCAAGUUGUGGGUGACUCAAGAUAUGAAAAUUAUGCCAUACCAUUGCAAUCUGCUUAGUUUGGCCAAUAAGUUUCGAAAUUUAGAGUUUAGACAUAUCCCUCGCACUUGUAAUGCUUUCGCUGCUACUCUGACUACCUUAUUUUCUAUGAUUCAACAUCCAGAUGAGUUGGAAAUUGAACUUAUUCAGAUUCAAUUCUAGGAUAAACUGGCACAUUGUUUGGUUGUGAAAAAGACCUCUGAUGAUUGUCCAUGGUAUAGCAAUAUCAAGGAAUUCAUAAAGACAGGAUCUUACCCUCCGGACGCCGAUUCAGCUGCCAAGAGUUUCUAGUGUAGAAUGUCGUCAAAAUUCUUUUUGAAUGAAGAGGUGUUAUAUAAGAAGACUUCAGAUUUGGGUCUUCUAAGGUGCAUCACUAGAAAUGAUGCUAAUUAUAUGAUGAAAGAAGUGCACAGCGAUGUAUGCAGACCACACAUGAAUGGGCAUUUAUUGAUUAAAAAGAUCAUGAGAACAGAGUAUUUUUGACUCACCAUGGAGCAUGGCUGUGUAGAUUUUGUCAGAAAAUGCAUAAAGUAUCAAAUGCAUGCCUGUGACGCCCCCACUUCUCCCAAGGGCGAACCCAAGGGUAUCCGCGGAACGCCUGCCUAGCUCUCGCCAGGACUCGAGACAAAUCAAUUCAAACUUAACAAUAUAUAACAAUUUAUACCAGUCUAAUAAGGAAAAAAAUCGCUUCCAUAAACGAAUAUCCAAAUCUUGUACCACGUGUUCAAAAUACAUCCGUUAUCCAAUUCUUACGUCAGGAUCCAAAAGAUACAUCAAUUCCCAAAUAUAUACAAUAGCCAAAAUGUCUAGUCAAUUACAAUUGAAACCCUAAUACAAAAGUACAUCCAAAGGGUUCCAACGAGUUUUACUCCAUCAAUUCCUGUUAAGGAAAACAAAUCUACGGGGUGAGCGAAACGCUCGUGAGGCCAAGAAAACACACAUGCAAGCACGUUGUCCAAAUAACAAUCCCAAUAUUCAAGUAAUUUACAAUUCAAGCGAGAAAAAUAAACAGAAACAAUUCAAGGAUAUAGGAGCUCUCAGGAGCUAUUUUCCUCUUGCUUCGCCACGGCUCGAUCCGAUACCCCCUCGUGAUGCCACUCCGUUAUCCGGGUGGGUAUUUUAUCCGUAACAACUUCACUUAUUACUUCCUCCGACCAACAUUCCACCCUCUCGGAUCCGAAACCAAACACGCACGAAAAAGGCGAUACUCGUCGAGUAUGCGACACGAGAUCUCAAGAGAUCAAGUUUUGAUUUUUGAACACGCACGGAAAGGGCGAUACUCCACGAGCAUGCCGAACAAGAUCUCAAAAGAUCAAGUUGUGUUUUGUUACUCUCUUGGUUUAUCAAACUUCUCGACCAAGCCCAUGCCGGCUCGAGUUGUAAGAUUGGUUAAGAGAAUUGGGCGUCCCCAUAAGUCGAGGAGGUUCACUCCACCCGACAACAUGACACGCACGACAUACACGACAUGCAUGGCAACACGACACGCACACGAAAACGGGUAUAUUUUAGUCGACGAGAUUCACUCAAUCGACUUUGAAAACCAAGUUAAUACAAGUAAAGUUCAAGUAAAGGAGAGCGAGUGCGAUAAAGUACACACUCGUCUCAUCAAGUGAUAUUCACGUAUAUAAGCAGGUAAAUCAAGUAAACACGACAAGUCAUGCACUUGACACUCACCAAUUCAAAAGUAAUUGAGCGAGAAAAUCUUUAGUUGUCCCCUCCGGGAUUCUUUUCAAGACUCGCUUGAGCACCUGAAGCAAUUAACAAGUAUUUUUCACUCACAAUCACGUAUUAAUCAAGAAAGGAGUUACGCUUAUUUGGACUAGUCAAUACCUCAAACCAAGAACCUUAGCCACUCAAAAUAAAGGUUCAAAAGUGAGGUUUUAUUAACACAAGAAAAACUGAUUUCCUUCAUGAAAUCAAGUUUAAAGCGAUCAAUUAUCAUCAAGAAGGAGUAACAAGUUUUCAAAUUUUCAUUUUCUAAGAAAUCAGCAAAUUUCAGCUUUGCGCGUCAAAUUUAGAAAAAUCAGAUCUUGCACUCAGUAGGUCCAAAAUUAUAAAACUUGGUACCGUUGGAAACCUCUUAGAAAGUACUAAAAGUUCUUAAAAGAUACUUUUCCAUGAAUCUAAGUGGAAGGUAUUCAAAAAUGAGCUUGAAGGUACAGGUUCGGCGUACAAGGCAGAAUUAAGUUGGAUUCGGCCAACUUUGGAAAUUCGGCACGAUUCACAUGUUGCAAACCGGCCUCUGAAAUUUACAGCUCAAUUAGUGUUACAAGUGAGGUUUAUAACAAAACAAGCGGAUCAAGAAUCGGAGUUUCGAGUACCGAGAUACGGUAGCUCAAAGUUGAGGAAGAUUCAAGACUGAAGAAGAAUUUCCAGUUUUGAACCUCCAACACUAGCAAUUUAAUUCGGUAUCGAAACGAACUUGAAUUGGUGCCAAAAUUGGCAGUAUUUUACUCCUAUAUGCAAGGUAUUCCUCUAUCAAAUUUCAGGGAAAAAUACCCUCGGGAAGGUAGUUAAUUAGUCAACCAAAGUUCAGGGAAAAUUCUAAGGCAAUCUGCCUUGUGACUUUCAUUUCACAAUUUCAAAUCGUUUAACCAAGAAAACUAUCCGAACAUGGUUCAUUUGUGAAACAAAGGUCUAAGACACAUCCAUGAUACCUUUGGUAAGUGAUGAGCAUCAAGAACUUCAAUUAAUAAAAUCAUUCCCAAUUUUGCCCCAAAUCAGUCCAAAUACUACGUUUUUCCAAAACAGGGCAGUCCUCUUGUUUUAGUCACAACUCAAUCAAUUUAACUCGGAAUGAGGCAUGGUUUAUGGCGUUAGAAAAUAAAUUCACGGGACUAAAAGUUCACAGAAGGAAAUGUUCUGAAAUUUGGCAAGAAACCAGCUCAAAAUUGAGCCUCAAGUUGCUGCCUCAACAAGCCAUUCCAGCAAAUCCGAGAGACAGGACAGCUAACUUAAAACGUUUGGUUCGGAUCACUCACAAAGAAUCAGAACGUGCAUUUUAUCUCAAAUUAAAGCUAGGAAUGUCUAGUUUCAAACGCCACCGACGGCACUUGAUUUCGACACCCGAGGACAGAGUUAUGGCCAAAAUACGACCACUGGACAGUUUUACCCGAAAAUAAUUUUCCAGCAUGCCUAGUUCAUGAAUAAAUUCAUUUGCCCAUCCAAUCGUUAAUGUUUUCCAACGAAAAUUUCUACACACAUAAUAUAACAUAUACACAUCAGGUUCAUGCCAAUAAAUCACCAAAAAUUGGCCUUAUAGUGGCCGAACAAAACAGGGGCAGUUUCGGAAAUUUCUUGUCAUGACCUCUACUUUGAGUUUCCAACAAUAAUACUCCAUAAAUCCAUCAUUAUAACCAUUAAACUACCAUUAAAUCCAACAUUAAUCAUCUAAUCAGCAACAACAACCCAAGUGUGGGAAUACAAAGAGCCCACUAUCACAUUUUACAACCAUAUCAAACCAUCCAUACACAUGCAAUAGCUUAAAGAUGCAUUUCUACCAUCAUAACCUAAGCUUAAGGUGUUGGAUGAAGUUAUACCUCCUUAGUGCCUUAACCCAGAAAUUUUCGGCCCUCAAGAGCUCCAAGAAACCGUGAAAAUGCAGCCCUUUUUGUUAGCUAAAUCCAACCUCCAAGUAGUUUGCUAGAUGAUCUUCAAGUUUGGUGAAGAUUGGUUGAGGUUUUGGGUUGAUUUAGUGAAGAAAUUUGUGAAGCAAGAGAGUGAGUGAGAGAGGGGUGUUGGCCGGCUGCUAGGUGAGAGAAGAUGGAGUGAAGUUUGAUCAAAAUUAGCUUCCAAGAGAAGAUUAAAUGAGUGGUGCACAUUUACUCCAAAGUCAACUCUUAUUAGGGCUCGUUUGGCACGUUUUAGGUUCGAUUUUCUCGCGCGUUUGGUUCACUAGUGCACUGAACCUCCAAUACAUUUAUAUUCAUGUAAGUAUUAUUCACUCUUAAUUGUCUCGAAAUAAGGGUCUAAAGUCCCUCAAAUAAAGUCGCGCGUGUGAAAACGCGUACCGUCAAUUUUAACGCUAUAACGCGAAACUUCCAAUAAAUUCUCAUAACGAUUGCACUACUAACUAUCACUUGAGUAUUUACUCAUAAGAUUACCUAUUUUAGAACCAUAGUACAAGUCUCCAAUAUUCCAAGCUUAUUGUGUUACUACGCGGAUAAAAUCUCCAAGUACUAUUCACUAUUUUUACUAGACGUACUCCAGGAAAUUAAUUUUUGAAACGAAUCAUUUUAAAAAUAUAACGAAGUUAUAUUACCAUGUAUUUAGGUCUAAUAAGACUAGAAAAUAUUCCUCGAAGCGAAAAUCCAAUUAAAUAAUUUAUUAAGCCAUAAAUUAGGCAUAAAAUAAUAGUUUUUACGAGUCCUCACAAUGCCGAUGUUAUACGUGCUCUUCCUACAGAACUACAUAGUAUGACUGCUUCUUGGCUAUGCUCAAUAUGGGGAAUAGACGUGGUUGGAGUUAUUGAUCCCCCUGCCUCGAAUGGGUUUCAAUUCAUCUUUGUGGUGAUAUAGUAUUUUACCAAAUGAAUCGAAUCAACGUCUUACAAGAAUGUAAUCAAAGGCGAAUGGAUUAAGCAAUGACAUGAGCAGCUAUCUCUGAUUGAUGAAAAACGGUUAAAUGCUGUUUGCCAUGAACAAUGUUAUCAAAGGCGAAUGACCCGUACUUACAAUAAAAAGUCAAAUCUCGCAUAUUCCAAGAAGGGGACAAAGUCUUGAAACAAUUCUUCCUAUUCAAGAUGAAACUAAAGAAAAAUUUGUUCCAAAUUGGCAAGGACCAUUCGUUGUUAAGAAGGUAUUGCUUGGAGGAGUAUUCAUUCUCACGGAGAUGGACAGACAGGUUUUUUCUCAACAAAUCAAUUUAGAUAUAUGUAAGAAAUUUUUCAUCUAAUUAUGUGAAUUUUCUUUUUGAAAUACUGCCUAGGGUGGACUAAACAACGGGCCUUCUUCUUUUUCUUUUAAACAUUUUAUCCCUAAUUUUUUUCUUUGAGCAUCUAGAAUAAUCUGCUUUUUCCGUCUGAUAAAUCCCUAAGGGUCGCAAACCCCAUAUUGGGGCAGGUUUUAUUUUGCACUUAAGAAAAAAGGAGUAAGGUAUACAGAAACAAAGAAAGAAUAGGAGAAAACUCAGUCUAAAAAUUAAAUUGGGACAAUUUUUUAGUUUCAAUAGCCUUAUACUGGGGCAAAUUUCAUAGGAUGCAGUCCUAGGACUCUUUGAAACCCCUUUAAAGAUCUGUAUUCGAACCUUAAUAUUUCUUAACACCCCACCUGAUCCUAUUACAAAAGCCAAAAAGCUCCCGACCUCCGUCAUAACGGUAUUUCUAAUAGAAAUUUUUUUAAUCAAAUAGCAAGUGAUGUAAAUACACCUUCACCAAUUUUGCAUGGGAAGGAUAAUUACACUCAUGCUCAUUAGGUGAAAACCAGAAGGGCGCCUUUUUAAAAAAAGAAGAAAGAAAAAAAAAGAGAAAAAAAAAGGCAAAAGUAAAAGAAUAGCAAAUAAAUGGGUGGGGGCAACCUUAGUGAAAAUUCGAAAGGGCACUAAGGUAGGAUUUGAAGUACCAACUAAGCCGUGAAUGAAAAGUCGAGGGUCGAUUAUUAAGAAACUGGUGACUAUGUUCAUUUGAAUACACUGAAUUUCAAGAAUGUGAUAUUCGAAGGGGUCAAAUGCGACAUUGCUCUCAUCAUAGAAGGGCCAUUCAAAUUUAUAUCUGAAUUUUCAAGUCAUUUUUGUAAACUUAAUAAGAGUCAUUUUCUUGUUGAAAAUCAUUUUUACUCUAUUUUGUAUCAUUGCAUGAAAUAAUUUUAUCUAAAACUUUUAUGUGCUUUCCAUUGAAUUCAACCAAGACACAAUUCCCGUAAUUUAUCGUAAUUGGUGCAUAAAUGUAUAUCUCAUAGUAUAAGCAUGAUUGACUGAGUUCAGAUACUAGCAGAUCAAGAGAAGAUUGCGCAAGAUUUCUAAAUCGGAUAGUUCCUCGACAUAAAAAAUCUCAUGUUUAUAGGAUUUUCAAGACUUGAGGAACCGCACGGUGGUGACAUUAUAAUUCGUCACGAUUAUUUUUAUUUUCUUUUGUAGGAUUGGAUUACGCACGUCUUCUUAAACGAAGAGGAAGAACAACAAUUAUUUAGCUAAGUCUGAUCUACAUUGAGACAAAUUUUUUCACAAAAGUGACAUCUAAUUCUAUAAAUAAAUUUAUUGUUUGCAAAAACGCUCUUUUUUAUUUUUUCAUAUAAUUAUUAUUUUGUUGGAUUUGAUUUUUAUCCUACAAACCUGUUAUUCCUAUUGGGUUUGGGUUUUAUCCCACCAAUCGUUAUUUCGUUGGAUUUGGAUGUUAUCCCACCAACUGUUUAUUUUGUUGGGUUUGAAUUUUAUCCCGUCAAUCGUUAUUUUGUUGGACUUGAAUUUUAUCUCAAGAACCAUUAUUUUGUUGGGAUUGGAUCUUGGCCCAUCAACCAUUAUUUUGUUGGGUUUGGAUCGUAUCCCACCAACCGUUAUUUUGUUGGGGUUGGAUUUUAUUCCACUAACUCGUUAUUUUGUUGAGUUUGGGUCUUGUCCCACCAACUUUUAUUUUGUUGGAUUUGGAUCUUAUCCCAUCAACUGUUAUUUUAUUGGGAUUGAGUUUUAUUCCACAAACUGUUAUUUUGUUACGUUUGAAUUUUAUCCCACCAACUAGUUAUUUUGUUGGAUUUGAGUUUUAUCCUACCGAUUGUUAUUUUGUUGGGUUUGAGUUUUAUCCCACCGACUGUUAUUUUGAUGGGUUUGGAUUUUAUCUCACUAACAUUUAUUUUGUUGGAUUUACGUUUUAUCCAAUCAACCAUUAUUUUUUUGGGUUUAGAUUUUAUUCCACCAACUUUAUUUUGUUCGGUUUGAAUUUUUAUGCUACUAACCGUUAUUUUGUUAGGUUUGGAUUUUAUUCCAACAGCCUUUUGCUUUGUUAGGCUCAGAUUCGGUCGCACCAACUUUUUAUUUACUAGGUUUAUAUUUUCCAAUUCGUUAGGAUUUACUAAUUGUUUGGACUGUAGUUAGAUCCCACUAAUCAAUUUAAAUGCUUACUCACUUUAUUUGAAACUUACUUUGUUUGAUUUGAUUCAAUUGGAGCAGACAGGUAAGUAAUUUGGUGUCUAAAUUUUUGUUUUGAAUUUUUGCGAAACUCAGACAAAGAGUAGCAAGUAAUUUAUAGUUAUUAUAUUUAUUUUUAUUUCAUUUUUUAUUUAUCUAUUUAUUCAUUUUAUUUUAUUUCAUGGUAUUUUAUUUUUAUUUCUUACUUAUUCUAAAGAAAAUCAUUUCAAUUCAUUUUUAGAAAAAUUAGAAUGAAAAUAAAAGGAAGGACAGAAAAAGAAAAAAAAAAGAGAGAAGAGAAGAAGAAAAAUCAAAAUCAGAUUUUGAAAAAAAAAAGGAAAACAGCAUACACGCGCGUGUCAUCUUCAUUAUUUCGUACAUGGCCAUGAACGAAAGCAUAGUAUCGGAAGUUGUAGCUCGGAUUUCAUCCAAUUCCACUUGUUUUUCCCCCCAAUCUUUAGCCACCUCAUCCAUUGAUUUUUAUCAAGAGAGUUUUAGAAUCAAAACCAUCUAAUGGCUCUAAAAUGCCCAACAAAUCUAGGUUUCAUCCUUACCUUUGAGGUCAGGGUAUGGGAGCCUUUAUUUCGUAUAAAUACCAACAAAACACAAGGAUUAGGGGUAAGAAAAGGAGAAAGGGUGGCGGAAACACAAAGAAAAAAAGAGAAGAACGGAGAGAGAGAAAGAAAAGGAUACAACAGAAUUUUUCUGAGAAAAUAACUUUGAGCCAGAGUUGGUGAAUAGGCCUCCUUCCUGGCCGAAAUUUGAUCUUAGUCUUAGUCUUUUAGGUGUAUUGUUUGUUUCUGCACUAUCUAUACUUGUCAAGGAGCAACUUCUCUUCAGAAAACUUUCAGAAAAAACAUCUACAAGACCAUCAUAUCGAACCCCAAAAUAGCAGGGUUGUCAGCACUUGGACAAUUCUUCAUCAAAAGGUUGGUGACCCGGUUCCUUCAUUUGAUUGCAUUAUUUUCGGAUCCUCCAUGUUUAUCUGGCUCGAUUAAGCUUCAAAGCUAACCUGGUUCAUCUCUUUGUUUUCGUAUACGUCUAGAUCUGCGCCAUAUGUAUCAAGAUUUGUUGCAUUCGUUUGUUUCCUCUUUCUCUUCUGCUUUGACUGUCUUCCCCUUUCUUUUGCAGCCCCCCCAGUCUAGAUUUUCCCUUUUUUUUUGUUUGUUUUGUUCAAUCUUGCAUUUUGAUGAUGGGUUUUGUGAAAUCUAGCGAGUAUUUGGAACCGGAGUUUUGUUUUAGAUUGUCGCAUGCUUUCUGGGUUGUCAAACUUUCAAAGCAUCAGAAUACUUCGAACAGCUUUGCAUGGGAGAUUUGGAAUUUGCAUUUUGGCCUCCCAACUUUCAUCUAAUCCCACUAUGGCCCAAUACCUGGAAAAAUUGAAUCAAUUUCCCCCCUUUAAGUUUUAAUCUUCUUUUGCAUAUUUUAACUAUGUUUUUGAACAAACUAUUUCCAAAUUUUAGGUCAUAAUUAAGACUUAAUAAUUUUUGAUAGAUUUAAUAUCUUGUGGGUUUUAGUUAAAUAAGUAGGAUUUUGGGUUAAGAGUUAUUUUGUUUCGAUUUUGAUAGAAGUUUUGGUUUAUUUUGAUUGGGUUAUGGCAUGGAGUUGGGGGAUAAAACCCAUACAUUUCGGUUGGGUUUGCUUGGGUAAAAAGAGUAGGCUGGUCCGUGUUUUUCUUUGAAUUUUCGUUGGCCCGGGGGAAGUUUUAGACCCAAUGAAAUAAUAAAAGGCCCAUAGCCCUUUGGCUUACAAAAUUUGAUACGAAAAUUGCAAUCUGGUCCCUAUACUUUUGAGUAAUUUUAGUGUGGCCCUAAAACUUGAUUUUCUUUCAAUUAGAUCCUUAAUUUAAUUACAAUUUGAUUCCUGAACUUUAUUUUUCUUUAAUGUUGACACUGAUCUUUGUAAUAAUUAUAAUUUAACCCCAAAAACUUUCUUAAUUUUUGUAAUUAGAUCCCUAACAGCUUUGAUUUCUUAAGUAUAAUUUGUCUAUCUUCUUUAAUUAUUAAUUAUAUUUCAUUUAAAUGCUUUUAAUUGGUAGAUUUCAUAGUUAUUUACAUUUUUUAUAAUUUAUUUGUUAAUUAAAUUGGUGUCUUGACCAUUUUGUUGAUUUUGGAGUAUAAAUGGUGCAAAUCCAACCUUAUUUAACCACUAAUUCAAGAGAGGUGUUUUCUAGUAUUAUUUUAAAUUCUCUUAUGUACUCCUAUGUGCUUUUUAUGUGUGAUUGCAUGUUUUGAGGGUUUUUUUUCUUGUAUUUACUCAUUUUAUUCUUUUAAAAUUUUUAUUUAUUAUAUUUAAUUUUGAUGAUUAUUUGGACUGCAUUUAAAUGCCAAAUUGUAAUGGAUAGAUGCUCAAGAGAUGUAUUUAACUAGGCUAUGUAAUAGAUAGAUUUUAUUUUUGUGAAAAAUGUAAUUAGUUAGAUGAAUAUGAUAGUUAGGUUAAUAUUUUUCAAAAUUUUCCCUUUAGAUUGUAGUUAGGACUCCAAAUGUAAUAGUUACAUCUUUAUGUGCGUUUAUUUGUUUAUGUGCUUGCAUGCUUGUGUGCUUAUGUGUUUAUUCGCUUUCUUUAGAGUUUUUAUAUCUAGAUAUUAUGCUUAUGUAUUAUGUGCUCUAUGUGUUUUAUGUGUUUACUUGAUUUAAUUAUAUUUUAUUUAUUUAUAAAAAAUACAUAACGUCACGACACUAGUCCAAUGCUAGUUAUGGCAUUUUUUUCGUUUUCUCACUAGUCCAAUACUAGUAAGAACUUAUAGACAUGGAUUAGUCCAAUGCUAGACGGUUAAGGCCACCUACGCGCUAAAAUUACAUGUUUGUAUGACAUUUAUUGCAUUUCAUGCAUAUUUUUAUUUUUAGGGUCUUUUUCUCAUCUUGUAUGAUCUUUCCUCUAUAUAUUAUCUCCCUUAUCCCUAUGUGCGUAAAACAUGACAUUUAGACUUCCAUUCCAUUUAGAAAAAUAGAAAUAAGUUAGUUUAUUUGCUUGAUUAGAUUAGAAAAGUCACCUUUCAAAUAUGAAAAGUGAACGAGUAUGGCUUCUUAGCCUUAACACGCUCUUUUUCCCUUUAUAAGAAGAAAAAUUUGAAUCACAAAUUUUAACAUCCCGUACCCGUUAUGUUGCAUUCUCUUUUUUUUAGAUCAUGUAUAUUUAUCUAUAUGUUAUAACUUCUUUUUUGAGUCUCAUAUUUUGCAUAUUCAUGACCUCUUCUAAAAAUCAUUUUUGGGCGUCGCAAUUAAUUUGAUUUGCACCAAUUAAAUUUUGAAGAAACAUUCCGACCCUUCUGAUACCCCCUAGGUCUAGACUCGCAUUCAUAUAGAAGCAUCCUAAUGUAAUAAGUUGCAUAGGUUAGACUAAGAAAAUUUUCGACUAAAUUUCGCAACUAGUUUUGGUUGGAUUGAAAGGGUAUCUUAGGUUUGAAACUAUCAAAUCUUUGCCUUCCCUUUUUACAACCGUGACUCCCAAACUCUCUUAUCUUGUUUUCAAAAAUCUGGAGUCGUCUAAAAGUUGUUUUAUUCAUUAGUUAUUUAAAAAUAUGUUUUGGAUGACUUGGUAUUCCUAAAUUCAAUACCAAGUGGCAACUCCUAUUUUUCCUAAAAAAAUCCUUUUUAGAUUAUUAUUUUGGAUCCAAACCGUCACAUUUUAAAUAAAGAUAUGUGAAGUAUGGUUUGAAAAUUGGUGAGGUGUGUGAAAAUGUAAAUGAAAGAAAAAGGUCAUAGGGCUUUGAAAUGCGACGGUUUGGCCAAAAAUAGUAAUCUAAAAGGGUUUUGAUAAAAUGUAGGAGUCACCACUUGGUAUUGAGUUAGGGUGUACCAAGUCACCCAAAAAAUGUGGAUUUAAAUGUGAAACCUUUUUAGAUUGACUCCAAAAUCUACGAUAAAUCAGAGAAAAAUGGUUCGGGGGUCACAGUUGAAAAGAGGGAAGGCAAAGACAAUGUCUAAGGCACCCUCUCAACCUAGCCUAAGUUAGUUGCAUGAUUUAGUCAUGAUUUUCCUAAUUUCUAACCAAAAGAUGUAUCGCAUUUGGAUGCAACUAAUAUGAAUGCAAUCCUAAACCUAAUGAGGAAUCGAAAGGGACAAAUAUCUCUUAGAGACUCGAUCGGACUAAAUCACAUGAGUUGUGAUAGCCAAGGAUAAGCUUUCCAAGAGGUCACGAGUAAUGCUAAUGACGAAAAAAUGAAUGAAAUGAAUUUAUGCAAUGUCAAAACAUGAUCUUGUGUGAAGUGAAAAAAGUAAUAAUAAAAAUAAUAGUGUGUAAGUGGGAAUGUGCAAAUGGGGGUGCAAGGUGAGGUAUGUAAAGUGAUAGUGUGAAGUGCAUGUGUGCUCAGUGGUAGUAUGUAAAGUGCUAGUGGUAGAGUGAGAAUGUGUAAGAUAAAAGUCAUGUGAAGUGAAUAUAUGAAAAAAGUAAUAGUAUAUGAAGUGAGAGUGCAAAGUGAUAGUGAGUAAAUGAAAUGCAUGAACCCUAGAAGAAUGCAAGCAAAACGGGUACGGGGAGACCCUAAAUCGUGACUUUUGCUUUUCCUUUUGAUUAGAAAAAGAAUGAGCGUGCUAAGGCUAUGUGCAGCCAAACUCGUCCAUCCCCUUUACCAAAAGAGUAACUCCCUAAGCUAAUCAGGCAAAUGACCCUAAUGACUAGAGUGAAAUGCAAAAUCCUAAAGAUCAUAUUUUGAAUGUGGGAAAAGGGUAAAGAAUCAUGCAAAAACGUAAAAAAUACUAAGAAAAAUGCAUGAAAAUGUAGUGAAGGCAUGCGAGUAUGUACUAGCGAGGGACGGCCCUAUUGGGUCGAGCAUUGGACUAGCCCUUUACUAACGCUCUCUCACAAGCAUUGGACUUGUGAGCGAUCGGGAAUAAGUAACCAUGACUAGCAUUGGACUAGCCACGGUUAUAUGGUACAUUUCCAUUCACCAUAUAUACACAAGUAAAUGGGCAUAGUUAAAGCAAGUAGACAUGUGAGCACGUAAUUCACAUAACACAUAAGCAUGCAUAUCUAGAUGCUAAAUCCUAGGAAAACGGUAACACAUAGCACGUAAGCAUGCAAACCACACAAAACAAAAUAAAAACAAUAAGUCCUAACUAUUAUAUUCGGGAAGUCCUACUACAAUCUAAAGGGGGAAGUGAAAAUAAUUAAUUAAAAUAAAUACCUAACUAUUACAAUUUGGCAUUUGAAUGCCUUUCAAAUAAUCAACAUUGAACUAAAAUAAAUAUACAAAAGUAACCAAAUAAAGUAACUAAAUGAAUAAAUAAAAUGAGAAUAUUCAAAAGGCAUGCAAUUAAGCACAUAAAGUCACAUAAGGGCACAUAGGAUCAAAUAAAGUAAGAAAUAAGGGAUAGGGUGUACCUCCCUUGAGUUGGGGCUCUAAGGACAUGAAUUACUUAUUUACCCUCCAAAAGAAUAAAAAUGUCAAUGUACCAAUUUAAUUGCGAAAAUUAAAGAAAAUAUGCAAACACAAACUCACUUGGCCAUAAAGCCCUUAAAAUUAUGAAUUAAGUGCAAUUUAGACAAGGCAUGGUGGCUAAUUGAAGAAAACAAGCAAUGGAGUUGCAACAUUAGAGCUGCCAAGGACCCAAUUGUAAAUAUUAGGAAAAUUUUUAGGGCCUGAUCAUGAUUUCCAGAACUCUAGGGCCAAAAUUGAAGAAAAGAUAAAGUUCAGGGCCUAAUUUGAAAUUGCAGCAGGGACCCAAUUGAAAGCACUUGUAAAAGUCUUGGGGUCAAAUAUGAAGUCCUAAAAUUCUGGGGUUAAACCACAAAGACAAUAAGACUAAAGGGGCUGAAAUUAUAAAUCCAAACAAGCAAUCAUCCUCUCCAAACAGAUUCGGCAUCAGUUUCCAUUUCCGUCUUCCUUCGCGGAUGGAGAAUACUAGAAAAAUUCAACUCUGGCCACUCCCCAAAAAGGAAAAAAACUCACACAAACUCCCUCUCGUACAAGUUCAUGACAUUAAUUCGAGUUUAUAUAAAAGGAAGAUUAAAACAGAAAAAUGCAAAAAUGAGCACAUCAUAAGCUUCCGGAACUCUAUUUUUCCUCCAUAAAAGUCAUGACAAGCAUUGAAUCUUACUGUCCACUUGUUUUCUUCAUACGUAAUAUGCGGAUGAAUCAUCUUUCAAGUAGAAAUUUCACUCAGGCAUUUUAACAAACAGCAAAUGGGCAUGAAAAAAUUCCAGCAAGUUUUUGCUCAAACGAUGCUAUAACUAGCCCCAAAAAUCAUCAGAAAACACACGAGAUUUCAGUCCCAUUCAUACAUGAAACGGGCGUUCCAAAAUCGUGUAUAAUCAGCAAAAUAAUGAACAAAAUCAGAAAAUAAGCUUUGAGCGUUUCAUGCGUUCGUGUUUGAAGGAAGACUGAAAUUUGAAGUGGGAAGACGGCUUACAGUUUGUUUCUUGGUGAAACUUUGCUAGUGCUGACGUCGGAUUCGAUUGCUUGGGCCGACGGUUGGCCAAUUGCUUGUGCCAGUAAAGGGUGGAGCCUGAGCUAUGGGGGGAGAGGCGAUGAAGCUGGCGUCGCGCGUGACUGAGGAGGGCGGCAAAAGGCGGUGCGAGCGAUGGUGGGCUUCGGCGUGCAGAGCGAAGGGACGGCGACGUGCGAAGGGUUAUGGCCGCACGAGCGUAAGAAACCGGGGAAGCGUCCUCUUCCUCAUUUUCUUUUCCUCUUUCGGCCGAAGCCUUUCUUGCUCUCUGUUUCUUUUUUCUUUCAAUUUUUUUCUCUCCUCCCACUCAGUCGGCCCCUCUAUUCUUUCUUUUGCUUCCUUUCCUUCUUCAAAACCCUAGCCGCCGUUGCUCUCUCCCUCGCCCUUUUCUUUUUCUUUUCUCUGCCUUUUUCUCCUUAGCCCUCAACCGAGAGCCUCUCCCUCUGUUUUUUCUUUCUCUGUUUUCUUUUUUCUCUCCCCCCCAAACGAAGCUCUCUGUUUUUUUUCUCUCAAUUUCUCCUAGUCUCCCUCAUCCAGCCGUCAACUCUACUAUCCUCCCCUCUUUUCUCCCGUUGUCUCCCUUUUUCGGUCCUCACUCCCCUCUCAAAAACCUAAGCCAACCAAGUGUCUAGACACCUAACCCCUUAGGUGUUGUGUUGUCAACCUAUAAUGAGGACAUUUGUCCCACAUGCAAGAUUCCACCUAUUCACACAUUAUAUUUUUUUUUCUCCAAAAAUUAAUUUAAGUAAACAAACAAAUGAUUAAAACAACUUUUUUUUCUUUUUUCUUUUUUUUUUUGGAAAAUUUUCUUUCUCUGAAAUUUAAUACUAAAAAUGUCUAAAAUAAAAACUAAGAGACUAGAAAUGAAUAAUAAUUAACAUUUAACCAAUGAAAAAUAAAAAUAAUAGCACAUAAAACUAAAUUAAAAAUUUGGUGUCUACAGUUUGCCCCUCUUUGUCUGAGUUUCGAAGAAACUCGAGACAAAGACGUAGACACCAAAUACUCACCUGUGGUUAUUCUGUUGCAAACUACUCGAACGACUGACGCUUUUGAAAUGAGGACUGAUCCCUUUAACAAAAAAUUUCAAAAUGGGACUGAUCCCUUUAACAAAAAAUUUCAAAAUGGGAUUGACCCAGACAAGAAAUUUAAAACGGGACUGACUCGAACGAAAAAUGUAAACCGGGACUGACCCGAACAAGAAAUUUAAAACGGAACUGACUCGAACAGGAAAUUAAAACGGGACUGACCCGAUCAGGAAUUUAAAAACGGGAUUGAUCCGAACAGGAAAUUUAAAAUGGGACUGAUGUGACGCCCCCGCUUCUCCCAAGGGCGAACCCUAGGGUAUCGGCGGGACGCCUGCCUAGCUCGCGCCAGGACUCAAAAUUUAAAACAAUAAAACUAGAUAAACCCACAAGCGUACUAUUCACUAUAUAUCUAAUGCCAAAAGAGUUCUAUUUACAUCUUCAAAAGUAUCGAGUCAAACCACUCUAAUACAUUAGAAUAACAACCAGCAGAAGGUAGACCCUAUGGAGGGUCCUUAUACAAACCACCAAAACAAAAAACAAACAUCCUAAUUGUCCGACUAUUACAAUCAAACCUAACUAUACUAGUGAAGGUGCCAAGAAGUUCCCCGCGUCGUCCCCUGCUAAGGAAAACAAAGGAAACGGGGUAAGCUAGAAGCUUAGUAAGUAAACAGGAUAAAAGUGUAAAAUUUCACAUUUAAAGAAACAGCUAUUCCACAAAAUGUCAAGUCGAGUGCAAAAGUAAAAAUACAAAGAAAGGAUACAGGUUGGCUCCAAAGCCAAGUCAUUUGCCAUGCGUGAUCUCCUGUCGACACUCCGUCAACCAUAAAUAAGGUCCGUAGAACUCCACUUGUACACCCACCGAACACCUUAUCACCCUCACUGGCCAGUCACCUCACAAACUUGCCCGGGCGAACGAAAUCAUAAACUUGAGCUUGAGUCACAAGCUCGGGUCACAAACUUGGUCCACAUUCUCGGUGAACCGGAUUCACAAACUUGGUGACCUCAGACUAAGUUGGACUGGCUUCGACCAAGCCC